rnacentral:rRNA from 1 species
AUGUGGGUAUCUACCCUUUGGCCUGGAAUAACACGAGGAAACUUGUGCUAAUACCGGAUAAGUCUUUACGGAGAAAGCUUUAUGCACCAUUGGAUGAGCCCGCACUUGAUUAGUUUGUUGGUAGGGUAAUGGCCUACCAAGACUAUGAUCAAUAGCUGAUUUGAGAGGAUGAUCAGCCACAUUGGGACUGAGACACGGCCCAAACUCCUACGGGAGGCAGCAGUGGGGAAUCUUGCACAAUGGAGGAAACUCUGAUGCAACGAUGCCGCGUGAGUGAAGAAGGCCUUUGGGUUGUAAAGCUCUUUCGUCGGGGAAGAAAAUGACUGUACCCGAAUAAGAAGGUCCG